rnacentral:tRNA from 1 species
GGGACGUAGCUCAGUGGGAGAGCGUCUCCCUACCAUGUAGGAGGCCCUGGGAUCAAUCCCUGGUACCU